rnacentral:misc_RNA from 1 species
UUUUUUUUUUUUUUCCUUUUUCCUUUUUCUUUCUUCGUUUUACUUAGUUCCCUAGAGAUAAUUAAAUGUAGAGGUUUUUGCUUAGAAGAAGGACGAAUUAUAUCUUUGAUUAGAAAGUUGAUGGUGCUAUUUUUAGGAAUGACUUGGUGAUAAUUGGACUUAACUCCUACUGCAGUUGAUCUGAAAUUAUGCUUUGUUAGUGAUAUCAAUAAAAGCUAACUUCUUUUAAAUUCACUGUUUUGUAGGUUGACCUGAAGCAUAACUGU